rnacentral:rRNA from 1 species
CCUGGAAACAGAUGCUAAUACCGGAUAAUAACAGAUGAUGCCUAUCAACUGUUUAAAAGAUGGUUCUGCUAUCACUCUUGGAUGGACCUGCGGUGCAUUAGCUAGUUGGUAGGGUAACGGCCUACCAAGGCGAUGAUGCAUAGCCGAGUUGAGAGACUGAUCGGCCACAUUGGGACUGAGACACGGCCCAAACUCCUACGGGAGGCAGCAGGU